GCCUACGGGUGGCUGCAGUGGGGAAUAUUGGACAAUGGGCGCAAGCCUGAUCCAGCCAUGCCGCGUGAGUGAUGAAGGCCUUAGGGUUGUAAAGCUCUUUCACCGGAGAAGAUAAUGACGGUAUCCGGAGAAGAAGCCCCGGCUAACUUCGUGCCAGCAGCCGCGGUAAUACGAAGGGGGCUAGCGUUGUUCGGAAUUACUGGGCGUAAAGCGCACGUAGGCGGACAUUUAAGUCAGGGGUGAAAUCCCGGGGCUCAACCUCGGAACUGCCUUUGAUACUGGGUGUCUUGAGUGUGGAAGAGGUCAGUGGAAUUGCGAGUGUAGAGGUGAAAUUCGUAGAUAUUCGCAGGAACACCAGUGGCGAAGGCGGCUGACUGGUCCACAACUGACGCUGAGGUGCGAAAGCGUGGGGAGCAAACAGGAUUAGAUACCCCAGUAGUC
rnacentral:rRNA from 1 species